rnacentral:sRNA from 1 species
GCAUGACAUUGCAGUUUUUGUUUCCAGAAGUUACUUUUCCAAUUUAAUGUUACAGUGCUUAAUUAGGGUAUUGUCAACUGUCAGACGAACAUUCAUCUUCAUUUAAAGAGAUACAGAUGUCUAUUUCUUUUUUAUUUGUAAACAAGGCUCGAAUGCAUUUGCCUUUACAGAUAAAAAAGAAGUUUUUUUUUCUUGUAAAUUGAAUGAAUUGAAAACAGUUACAAUGUUUAUUAAAUUUAUAAAAUAUAAUACAACAAUGUAUAAAAUAUCAACGUUACAUUUAUAUCAUAUCAAUUUUUUAAAAGAAAUGUGACAUCAUAUUUCACUUCAACAUGUCAUUGAAACACUAUGUUAAUUAUUUACCUGUACAAAAUAUACAGCCUUUUUUCUAUU